ACGUAGGGUGCAAGCGUUGUCCGGAUUUAUUGGGUUUAAAGGGUGCGCAGGCGGUCUGUUAAGUUCGUGGUGAAAUCUUCCCGCUCAACGGGAUACCCGCCGUGGAAACUGGCAGACUUGAGUAUGUCUGAGGGAGUUAGAAUGCGUGGUGUAGCGGUGAAAUGCUUAGAUAUCACGCAGAAUACCGAUUGCGAAGGCAGACUUCUAGGACAUAACUGACGCUGAGGCACGAAAGCGUGGGGAGCGAACAGG
rnacentral:rRNA from 1 species